GGGCUAUAGCUCAGUCGGUAGAGCACCUCGUUUACACCGAGAAGGUCUA
rnacentral:tRNA from 1 species